CCAGGAUUUUCAGAUUGGCAUACCGAAUCAUUACAUCUCUUGUUAGGUAGUUCAGAUUUAUAGUCAGUAACCUCAUCUGAGCUGUAGAGAUGUUCUACUCUCAAACCUAAGAAAGUUCAUUGGAUUUUCAUGAGUAAGGGCUCCUUUCCCAUGACAGAGUUCAGCUUCUUGAUUAGGGAUAAGUGGAUGUAAAGAUUAUGAAGAAAACUAAAUCUCCUCAUUAUAACUGAGUUUAAUUUCAUAAACAUUUUCUUCGCCUGUUUGCAAAUGUUGCAGAUUAUUUUGUUUCUGUCACUGGGAAUUAGGUAUUGAGUAUCAGAAUAUUGGCCACUUUCUGUAUUUUUGUUUUGCUCUGAAUCGGCAGAGGCAGAUAUGUGUGCAGUGCAAUCGUUCUAAGAAGUUCCCUUGCUUUCUCAACUGUGAGAUUUGUUUUAAGGUUCGAAAAAAUUUCUUCCCUCCACGGCCGCGUGGGAGAAAGAGAAAAAGGAGAUCUUCAAAUUCUGCCAAGAAACGACGCCUGACUACUUUAUCAGACAUCUGUGAAGAGAAUGUGGUUUUGAAAAGUGGUGGUGAUACUGCAGGGCCUUCAAAUAUCCGUACGGAUAGUGGUUUAGGAUCAAGUCAGGAGUUUUCAUGCAGGACGGAACCUAAAUGUGUAACUGAUUCACAAAAAGUACCUGGGGUCCCUAGCAGUAGCAACUCUGACAUAUGUAUGAUGUGCUUGGUGAAUCCAAAGAAUGGUAUAUUUGUCCAUGGCAAAAUAGGUCAUAUAUGUUGCUGUUAUAAGUGUGCAUUAAAAGUUUGGACAGGAGUUAGAAGGUGCCCUUGUUGCAAUUGUAAGGUUAACAAUGUGCUUAAGGCUAUAGUGUUAUGAAAUUGAACUGAAUUGCAACUUGCAGUUCACAACCAUUUUUAUUGGACACUGAUUUUGAAUUUGAUUAUUUGGCAGGUUUAAUUUUAUUAUGGGAAUGAAGUGAUUUUAUUUCCAGCUAAUAUAAUCCAGAUAUGUUACUAGUAAAGAGACCA